rnacentral:rRNA from 1 species
CAAUAGCGUAUAUUAAAGUUGUUGCAGUUAAAAAGCUCGUAGUUGAAGUUUGGGCCUGGGCGGGCGGUCUACCUAUGGUGAGUACUGCUGCGGCCGGGUCUUUCCUUCUGGCUAGCCCUCGGGCGAACCAGGACGAUUACUUUGAGGAAAUUAGAGUGUUCAAAGCAGGCCUUUGCUCGGAUAUAUUAGCAUGGAAUAAUAGAAUAGGACGCAUGGUUCUAUUUUGUUGGUUUCUAGGACCAUCGUAAUGAUUAAUAGGGACGGUCGGGGGCAUCAGUAUUCAGUUGUCAGAGGUGAAAUUCUUGGAUUUAUGAAAGACGAACUACUGCGAAAGCAUUUGCCAAGGAUGUUUUCAUUAA